CCUUUCCAAGUCUAGAACAACAGUGAACAAUAGUAUAACAUGAAAACCACUCUCUUACAAAAUACCCUCGCAGGCUUGAUAACCAACAACACAACGUGUAUCGAAAACCUAUGUGUUGAUUCGAAACCCACCAUUGAUACAAUCUGUGAUCAAUAAUCCCUCUUUGCAGCAGUGAUAAAUAAUCACUCGUGAAGCAAACCAAUUGUGGAAUCCCAGCCUUGAACCAAUCAAAGUAGCACAAAACAGUACCAACAAACGAUCUGUGGCGGCAGUCGACACGGAGGACAAACCACCCUCUUUGAGGCGCGCUAAAGAAAGUCGACC
rnacentral:lncRNA from 1 species